AGGAAAUGAAUGCCGUGCUGCCCCUUGCCACUGUUGCUGCUGCUGCUGGUAAUCAAUCGCAUGCGAUUGAUUCACGAGCUCGUCGUCCCAUCUCCCUCGGGAAUUCCAGAAUCCCACUAUAGCCCCCCUCCUUCCCUCCUCUCAGGCACUGACUGCUUCCCUUGCGAUCCUCGCCUUUAUCGAGGAGUGGCGUUUCUGUGUUUGCCAUUGAUUGCAAUUUCGCCACCACGGAAGCACGAUUCUGCCAUAACAGGAUUGAUUAAUUUCCUGUAGUUUGAGCAAUUGCCUCUUGCAUUUGUCAAAGGAGAGGAGAAGGCCACCGCUGAGGGGGUCAUGGCUGCCAUGGCGUCUCAGGGGAUGACCUUCGAUCCCGCUUUGAGGUUGUGGCGCAAAGGACAGAUUGGGCGGGAGAGUAAUGUUGAGUUCAGGUGAGCGCGCUGAAAAUGCGGAAGAGGAAUGUUGAGUUCAGGAUGAAGGGAGCUGUGGUAGUGAGAAGGCGUAAAACUGAGUUUGGAGGUGCUAUUCGGGGAUUUGGUGGGUUGGGAGACGAGGGCGUGGUCGAGAGAUUGCCGUAGAGUCAGGACGUGCUGAAUAUCUCCAUCAGGUCGCAUGUCGUGGAGAUGAAGAAGGGGUACGGUUCGUUUGGAGGGGGUAGUGCGACCUUGGAGAAGUCAAAGCUGGACUUGUCGCAGUCUUCUUCCAAGGUUAAACAGGAGAUGUUAGACCGGAAGUAUGUGGAAGUUAUCCUACAAGAGUGGCUCAAAACGAUCAGUGACUUGCCUGAAGGCUUUCGACUGGCUGUGGAAUUAAUGCGUUGAAUGUUCCCGCAUGUCGGUCUAAUUUGUUUCCGAGAAAGUCAGUGAAUCUCGGUGGAUUACUAAAGUCGACUUGGCCAACUUGUUGCAGGGAUUGAUUAGCUCGGCCCAGAUGGUCAGGUUUUUGUCGGUAAUGCAAGACCGACUUUUACUAGGAAGUUAUCAUGGAUGCUACCUGAGCCAGUUUCAAGGGCAUUCAUCGGUCGCAUUCUUGCGGACCCUGGAUUUUUGUACAAGCCAGUAUUUGACGAGAUGGUGACUAUCGGUGAUGCUGUGUGGUGGGAGUUCCAACAAAGAGGUGAAAGGGUAUAGCAUGAGUGGAACGUUGCUGCAGGAAAUGUUCUGACUUUGGUUGCGAGUGCAGCAGCUGUGAACUGGGCACUGUCCCUCAGCCGACCUUACGGUUCAACAUUCAAAUAUGAAUUUCAAAAACUCUCUUCAAAAGCUUCCAAACCACGUCGUUGACAAGAGCUAUUCUCUUCGAGAGUUCGACAUGUCAAAGCGUGUAUUUUGUUUCUUCUACAAACCUGCGCAUCUUAGCCUGGUUGGUAUGGUAACUGGGACUGCUAGGGCAGUCUAUCCAGUAUUAUGUCUUCAGCGAGAAAUAAGGAGUUGUCACUGCCAGCCCCUUCAGUCACCACAAGUGCAUCAAGUUACUGAGCGUUUAUGGGUUUAUUGGGUAACCUGAAGUAUCAGAUGCUUUUUGGGGUGGAAAGGCUUAUGCAAGACCAUUUCCAGCAUUUGGGAGUUGUCUUGUUUUUUUUCUCUGCAGCAUUUAGGGCCUUGAAUAUUCAGAUUGGGGACGUGACAAGAUUAGCGUUUUUGGGUUAAAGGAAGUUGCCCGUUGUCUAUGCUGAUGGUCCUCUUUCACAAGCAUACCUUCAUUGACAUCGAAGUCAGUGGUAGGAUGGGUAAACCCUGCCAAGAGUCUUAUCACUGGCCUCUUGGCUAAUUCGAAGGUACAAAAUAAGGACGGCACGCAACGGUAUACUUCUCAUGUUUUCGCGAAGAGAAAAGCGAAGCGUAAAGUUAGCUCUGGAAGUAGGUGGGUAGUCACAUAUUGAGCAGAUUUUAGAACUUAGACCCAGUCUAGCAACCAUUCCAGUAGAAAUUUUCGACAGAAGACUACUAUUGAAAACUGAGAUGUUGUGAGGUAUUAUUUUGCCAAGUAUGAUGGAACAUGAGGAUGAACAAUUUGAAUAUUAUUUAGGGUAAUACUCCACAUGGCUAAUCAAUCAUAAAUCGAUUGUGUUGAGUAUCACUGUUUUCCCA